CAUCCAUAUCCGGUUGAAACACCGGUUCUCAUCCAAUCGCCGAAGUUAAACAACUUUGAGCCUAGUCAGUACUCAGAUGGGUAACCUCGCGCAAAUACAAGAUGCUGUAAU